rnacentral:rRNA from 1 species
UACAGAGGGGGCAAGCGUUGUUCGGAAUUACUGGGCGUAAAGAGCGCGUAGGCGGCCUGUUAAGUCGAACGUGAAAUCCCCGGGCUCAACCCGGGAACUGCGUCCGAUACUGGCAGGCUUGAAUCCGGGAGAGGGAUGCGGAAUUCCAGGUGUAGCGGUGAAAUGCGUAGAUAUCUGGAGGAACACCGGUGGCGAAGGCGGCAUCCUGGACCGGCAUUGACGCUGAGGCGCGAAAGCGUGGGGAGCAAACAGG